GUCGAACGCUGGCGGCGUGCCUAAUACAUGCAAGUCGAACGCAGUGGGGACGGGUGAGUAACACGUGGGUAACCUCCCAUCAGAGGGGAUAACACUUGGAAACAGGUGCUAAACCGAUACUGAUGGAUGGACCCGCGGUGAAUUAGCUAGUUGGUGAGGUAACGGCUCACCAAGGCCACGAUCCAUAGACGGCCGGAGAGGAUGAUCGGCCAAACUGGGACUGAGAAACGGCCCAGACUCGUACGGGAGGCAGCAGUAGGGAAUCUUCGGCAAUGGACGAAAAACUGACCGAGCAACGCCGCGUGAGUGAAGAAGGUUUUCGGGUCGGAAAACACUUUUGUUAGAGAAGCGGUAUCUAACCAGAAAGCCGCGGCUAACUACGUGCCAGCAGCCGCGGUAAUUC
rnacentral:rRNA from 1 species